rnacentral:rRNA from 1 species
AUCAACGCUGGCGGCGUGCCUCAGACAUGCAAGUCGAACGAUUAAACUUUCCUUCGGGAAAGAUAUAAAGUGGCGCACGGGUGAGUAACACGUAGGUAAUGUACCUUUGGGUGGGGAUUAACAGUCGGAAACGACUGCUAAUACCGCAUAAUGCAGCGGCUCCUUCGGGAGACAGUUGUUAAAACUUUAUCGCCUAAAGAGCAGCCUGCGGCAGAUUAGCUAGUUGGUAAGGUAACGGCUUACCAAGGCUACGAUCUGUAUCCGACCUGAGAGGGUGGUCGGACACACUGGCACUGAAUAACGGGCCAGACUCCUACGGGAGGCAGCAGUCGGGAAUUUUGGGCAAUGGGCGCAAGCCUGACCCAGCAACGCCGCGUGAAGGAUGAAGUCUUUCGGGAUGUAAACUUCGUAAGAAUAGGAAGAAUAAGUGAGGGUACUAUUUGUAAGGUCCGGCUAACUACGU